GGCAGCAUGGUGCAGUGGUUUGAGUGUUAGACUACAACUCUGGAGAGGAGGGUUCAAAUCCAUGCUCGGCCA